CCCCCCGCCCAGUUGUUUGGCUCCCGCGGCAGGUCCAGACGUUUCUUUGCAAAUAACAGCCCGGAGGCGACACUCGCGGAGGGAACGAGGUUUGCACCCAGCACCCCGCCCCCCGGGACUCCAGCUCUGGAAGACCCUCGCCCUAGGCCCUGCUUCUGAAUCGCUGGCUUUAAAAUGCGAAUCGAAUAAAUCGCGUGGCGUUUUGCGGCGCCAGAAGUCACUCAGCUGUUACAUGGAGAACAGGUUGGAGGGGACAAGGCUGAAGCCGGAAGACUGUUUCGGAGGUCACUGGCAUAAACCAGCACUCGGCGGGGUACAGAGCAUGGCGUUAAUCCCCGGGGGACCCUCCUGAGGACGGAACUGCCCUUUGUUCAGGACACUACGUUAGCGAACUGCUAGAAGUGAAGGAGAGACCUGCAGUCGCCCCAGGUUGGAAGGCGGAGAGGAGAGAGUGCGGGUCCACGUCCAGGAGUGUCCCUCGGGGAGGCCCUCUCCUGGGGGCACAAGGAGGCCUGUUCAAAACGGUCAUUACAACAUUGUUUGUACCAGCGAAAACCUGGAAACGGCUUGAAUGCCCAUCGCUAGAGGACUAACUAAAUAAAGCACAGUUCAGACAGAACAAGGCCGCCAAGGAAGAAGUGGCACCUGGCACCGCGCCGUUCUGUGAGCCUGACGUGCAGGGAGCCCUAAGAGAGUGUUAGGUGACGAGCAACUUUCAGGGCAAUAUGUGCAAUGUGCUGCCAUUCACGGUGAAAGAAUACCUACAGAAGGGAAGUCUACCUGCAUUUUUAUCUGAACACACACAUAUAUGCAAUU